rnacentral:misc_RNA from 1 species
UAUGAAGAACGCAGCGAAAUGCGAUACUUGGUGUGAAUUGCAGAAUCCCGUGAACCAUCGAGUCUUUGAACGCAAGUUGCGCCCGAAGCCAUUAGGCCGAGGGCACGCCUGCCUGGGCGUCACACGUCGUUGCCCCCCCAUCUACUCCUUCGGGAUUGCGGGGGGCGGAUGAUGGCCUCCCGUGCGCCUCGUCGCGCGGUUGGCCUAAAUGCCAAGUCCUCGGCGACGCACGCCACGACAAUCGGUGGUUGCGAAACCUCGGUUGCCCGUCGUGUGCGGUCGUCGCGCAUCGAGGGCUCGAAAAAAUUGCCGGGCUUCGGCUCGACUUUCAACGCGACCCCAGGUCAGGCGGGGUUACCCGCUGAAUUUAAGCAUAUCAAUAAGCGGAGGA